rnacentral:tRNA from 3 species
GCCUGGGUGGUGAAAUCGGUAGCCACAGCAGACUUAAAAUCUGCCGCUGUCACAAGCGUACGGGUUCGAGUCCCGUCCCAGGUACCA